UACGUAGGGGGCAAGCGUUGUCCGGAUUUAUUGGGCGUAAAGAGCGUGUAGGCGGUUUGGUAGGUCCGCUGUGAAAACUCGAGCUCAACCUCGAGACGCCGGUGGAAACCAUCAGACUAGAGUCCGGAAGAGGAGAGUGGAAUUCCUGGUGUAGCGGUGAAAUGCGCAGAUAUCAGGAAGAACACCCGUGGCUAAGGCGGCUCUCUAGUACGGUACUGACGCUGAGACGCGAAAGCGUGGGGAGCGAACAGGG
rnacentral:rRNA from 1 species